rnacentral:lncRNA from 1 species
CGGGGGGAAGAAGGGGUGCGACUGAGCUGCCAGCCCCCCUUCCAUCUCCCAUCUCCUACUUGCUAAGUUUCAUUCCCAAAGGCACAGCUCCUCCACCUUUCCAGAUUAUGCAACCCCGUCACUGAUCUGAGGAAACAAGGUCCCACGACUGACACGACCGUGGUCUGCUCAAGUCCAGAAGUAAAGGGGCAGGAAACUAACUUCAGUCUCCCUCCAUGACGGCAAAGCCUCAUUACCACGGUCUGCAUAUUUUCUGUGAUUGGACUGACUAAAGUCUGCCUUUGCCAAUCUUAAAAAAAUGGGGAGGGGUAAAGUGGAAAGGAAAUAAGACGAACAAAGGAAGGAAGAGGAGGAGGUGAAGGAGGCGGUGACAGAGGAGAAGGAACGGGAGGAGGCUAGUACAGCUAAAGGAAUCUGAGGAGGAACGUGAGGUUCAUGUCCCAGAGCCAUGAAGGAGGUCCUUUCUUUCCACAGAUCAGAUCUUAGGGGAAGAUGGAAAGGAGCACACAGGAAGGAAGGCCUCAGGGACGUCCUUCCUGCUUCCUCAUGGGCCUGGUUGAGCUGAAGGUGAGGGACAUGGCUAGCGGGAAACCGUGGAAUCUUCUUG